rnacentral:rRNA from 1 species
UUCCAGCUCCAAUAGCGUAUAUUAAAGUUGUUGCAGUUAAAAAGCUCGUAGUUGAAUUUCGGGACCAAUAUGUCGGUCGUACUUUGUACGUACUAGCAUUAUUGGUUUCUCCCUUCUGAAGAACCACGAUGUCAUUAAUUUGGUGUCGUGGGGAAUCAGGACUGUUACUUUGAAAAAAUUAGAGUGUUUAAAGCAGGCUCGCGCUUGAAUACAUUAGCAUGGAAUAAUGAAAUAGGACGUUUGAUUCUAUUUUGUUGGUUUCUAGGAUCGACGUAAUGAUUAAUAGGGAUAGUUGGGGGCAUUAGUAUUCAAUUGUCAGAGGUGAAAUUCUUGAAUUUAUUGAAGACUAACUACUGCGAAAGCAUUUGCCAAGGAUGUUUUCAUUAAUCAAGAACGAAAGUUAGGGGAUCGAAGACGAUCAGAUACCGUCGUAGUCUUAACCAUAAACUAUGCCGACUAGGGAUCGG